UACGGGGGGGGCAAGCGUUGUUCGGAAUUACUGGGCGUAAAGGGCUUGUAGGUGGCCAACUAAGUCAGACGUGAAAUCCCUCGGCUUACCGGGGAACUGCGUCUGAUACUGGAUGGCUGGAGUGUGGGAGAGGGAUGCGGAAUUCCAGGUGUAGCGGUGAAAUGCGUAGAUAUCGGGAGGAACACCGGUGGCGAAGGCGGCCCCCUGGUUGGAUACUGACGCUGAGACGCGAAAGCGUGGGGA
rnacentral:rRNA from 1 species